rnacentral:lncRNA from 1 species
CAUCGAACAACUGAAAGCAGGAGCUCGUAACAGGAACUGCCAGGCAGCAGUAAUUGCAAGCACUGCUACCAGCUCUAUCUGCAAUGUGCAGCGCCCAGAAAAGGAGGGAAGUGCAUAAAUGAUGCUUCGACUGUCCAGCAGCCAAGGAUUAUGGAGUGCUGAGGCUGAAGAUGUAAAUGCCAUGUCUGGUAUGGUACAGUGGCAGGUCCCCCUUUGGCAAGGAGCCAUUUCUGCCUGCGUUGCACCAGCCUGAGCAGGGUCCUGCUGCCAGAACGCCGGUGCUGUCACCUCCUCCCUGAGUCUCUCAGCCAGAGGUAAGUGCCCCACACAGAGACAGCGUGUGCUUGC